ACAGGUAUCUUCAUAGAAAUUACUCAAACAUGACAGUUGGGGACUUUUUCCACCACUGCUUGUUUGUAUAGUGCAUAAGUAGUCAAAACAUUACAGGCAGAUGACACCGGUUUUUCAGCUCGUGGCUGCACUUCCUGUGCUUGUGACCACAGAAGAAGGAAACAAGAAUAGGGUUGAAUGGGGGAACCCUCUCCCUUUUCCCGGGAAUAAAUAACUGCGAGAAACAGGGGGAAGGUCCUCUUCUUGUCGUGGCCCAUGCGAUUGAUGGUGGUGGAGCAGGGAACAGCGUCCAGGUGGUGGGAGCUGUUGGGCAGUGUGGGGACCCACUGGCUGUUCCUCUUCACCUUCUGCUCCCUGAGAUGGACAGAGAAAUGGGGACAUUUGAGAAUCGUCGAUCCUUACAGAAUGCUGACAGCACGAAAAGAAGCAUCAGGGAGUUUUGGUUUUUGUUUUGGUUGGUGACGUCGGGUCCGGGUGUGCCUCAGCUAGCUCGUCGGGCUUCCACGCCUUAGCUGGCUCAAGAGGUCUUCUUGCCUCGGUGGGCUCGUCAAGCGCCCACCCCACAUCAUGCUUCAGCCGGCCCAUCAAGCUCCCACUUCUCAGCCGGUUCGUGGGGCUCCCACGCCUCAGCGGGAUCGUCAGGCUUUCACGCCUGUGCCGGUUCGUCAGACUCCCACACCUCAGCCGGCUCGCCAGGCUCCCACGCCUCAGCUGGCUUGUCGGGCUUCUACGCCCCCAGCCGGCUUAUCCAGCGCCCUUGCCCCAGCCGGCCCACCAUGCUCGCCUAGGUGGGAUGCCGGGUGGUGCCCCUAGAGGGGGGGGUACUGUCACUCCCUCUCUGCCGCUCGAGGGUGCCAGGCUGCCCUUCAUUACGCAAACCUGUCACCAUCAUUAUGCACAGCGGUGCAAUAUUGGACUCACCUGGACUCCAUUACCUUGUUGAUUACCCCCUCUAUAACUGUUUAUUCACUGUGUCAGCAUUAAUGUUGUUAUUUGUUCAUGUCCAGAUGCUGUCCAGUCCUGUUCCAUGUUCGUUGCUAUUAAAUGUUCACUCCCUGUACCUGCUUCUCAUCUCUACCAGUGUUGAUCCUUACAGUAGGCCGCAUGUGCUGCACCAGAAUCACAUGUUCUCUUCUGUUUUAUCAUGGUUUGAACAAAUUCCAGUCCAUAUAAUACAAUACAGUAUAGUAAUACAGUUUAAACUCCAAAAAUUUGCUGACUGGAGCUAAUUUCAUUUAUUUCCCCCAGAAAGCAUAUAGCUAGCUACAUCUAUGGGCUUUUAUGUUUUUCUGUUGUGCGUAAUGUGCAGUAACCUAUGAAUCAUAUAUGUAUUGGACAAUAAUUUGGGCUUUUAAAAAAAAAUGUUAAUGUAGGGCUCAUAAAAUGUAUUUAAUAUAUGACUCAUCAGGCUCACUCAGUACCGGUACAACCUGUAUAUAGCCUCAUUAAUGUUAUUUUAUUGUGUUACUUUAUUCAUUUUCUUUUACUUGAGUUAUUUAGUAAAUAUGUUCUUAACUCUAUUUUCUUAAAACUGCAUUUCACAUUAAGGUCUACACAUGUUGUAUUCAGCGCAUGUGACAAAUACAAUUGGAUUUUUAUUGCAUUUGAAAUAAAUAGGAUAAUUGUUAAAUUAGCA